rnacentral:rRNA from 1 species
ACGCUCGACACCUACGGGAGGCCGCAGUGGGGAAUAUUGCACAAUGGGGGAAACCCUGAUGCAGCGACGCCGCGUGGAGGAAGAAGGUCUUCGGAUUGUAAACUCCUGUUGUUGGGGAAAAAGAGGAUGGUACCCAACAAGGAAGUGACGGCUAACUACGUGCCAGCAGCCGUGGUAAUCUGAGCGGGCUGGCAAGGC